UGGGCCUAUUGUUCAGUGGUAGAAUGCUCGGCUGGCAGUCGAGAGGCUCGAGUUCGAUUCUCGAUAGGUCCAU
rnacentral:tRNA from 1 species